rnacentral:lncRNA from 1 species
AGAAAUCUGAUUUUUUUCAAUUUCAGAUCAGUUUCAGCUUUUAGAUACAGAAAAAAUACACCCAGAAAAAUAGAAAAAAAAAAUCAGUGUUUCAUUAGAAUUGUAAGCUAAUUUGAUAUUCUAGUUAUCCAUUCCCAUUUCCUGAUUUUCUCUUUGGUUGCUAAAGUUUUCGAGAUAUUUAUAGUUGAUUUCGAGCAAUUUCUAGGUUUGUUUUGUAUGUUUUCGGUUGUUUGUUGUUGCUGCUGGGUUUUCAACUCUCUCCGGGUCUUGGUUUGAGUGUAUUUUUUUGUUUAAGCUCGAGUUUGCUGUUGAUUUGGUUCUCACUGCCUGUUGUUACACUCACUGUUGCUGUGCUAACUCUUCCUUGUUCUGUUGAACUAAAAUUCCCAGGUACACUAUUUGAACCUUACUGGUGUAUCCAUUGAAGUUUUAAUGAAGGAAAUUGUCGUUUGAUUGAGGAUCAUUGAUGUUUAGCUGAUGGUUGUAUUGUCAAAUAUAUCUGUUAGCUGUAUCAUGUUAUGGUUAACUAUAUGUUUUUGUACUUGUAUAGAACACCUAGACCUCACCAAUAUGUCUAUGGGAAUUGUUAUUGUGUAAGUUAGUGCCAAAUUUCACCUGUGUGGAAUUAAUU